rnacentral:piRNA from 1 species
CACUACUGUCAGUCCAUCUACUGGGAUGU